GACGAACGCUGGCGGCAUGCCUAAUACAUGCAAGUCGAGCGAACAGAUGAAGUGCUUGCACUUCUGACGUUAGCGGCGAACGGGUGAGUAACACGUAAGGAAUCUACCUAUAAGCGGGGGAUAACAUUCGGAAACGGGUGCUAAUACCGCAUAAUAUCUUCUUCCGCAUGGAAGAAGAUUGAAAGACGGCUCUGCUGUCACUUAUAGAUGACCUUGCGGUGCAUUAGUUAGUUGGUGGGGUAACGGCCUACCAAGACGAUGAUGCAUAGCCGACCUGAGAGGGUGAUCGGCAACAUUGGGACUGGGACACGGCCCAAACUCCUACGGGAGGCAGCAGUAGGGAAUCUUCCGCAAUGGGCGAAAGCCUGACGGAGCAAUGCCGCGUGGGUGAAGAAGGCCUUCGGGUCGUAAAACUCUGUUAUAAGAGAAGAACAAAUUGUAGAGUAACUGCUACAGUCUUGACGGUAGCUUAUCAGAAAGCCACGGCUAACUACGUG
rnacentral:rRNA from 1 species